GGGUCCAUAUCUCAUUGGUAGAGCAUUUGAUUGCAGAUCAAGUGGUCGAUUGUUUGAAUCCGGCUGGGCCCU
rnacentral:tRNA from 1 species